rnacentral:rRNA from 1 species
UACAGAGGGGGCAAGCGUUGUUCGGAAUUACUGGGCGUAAAGGGCGCGUAGGCGGCCUGCUAAGUCGAACGUGAAAUCCCUGGGCUCAACCCAGGAACUGCGUCCGAUACUGGUUGGCUUGAAUCCGGGAGAGGGACGUGGAAUUCCAGGUGUAGCGGUGAAAUGCGCAGAUAUCAGGAGGAACACCGGUGGCGAAGGCGGUUCUCUGGGAAUAUCCUGACGCUGAGGAGCGAAAGUGUGGGGAGCGAACAGG